rnacentral:rRNA from 1 species
GUAGUUUGGGAUAACACCUCGAAAGGGGUGCUAAUACCGGAUAAUGUCAAGAAGUGGCAUCACUUUUUGAAGAAAGGAGAAAUCCGCUAUANGAUGAGUCCGCGUCCCAUUAGCUAGUUGGCGGGGUAAAAGCCCACCAAGGCGACGAUGGGUAGCCGGCCUGAGAGGGUGAACGGCCACACUGGAACUGAGACACGGUCCAGACUCCUACGGGAGGCAGCAGUGGGGAAUAUUGUGCAAUGGGGGAAACCCUGACACAGCGACGCCGCGUGAGCGAAGAAGGCCUUCGGGUCGUAAAGCUCAAUAGUAUGGGAAGAUAGUGACGGUACCAUACGAAAGCCCCGGCUAACUACGUGCCAGCAGCCGCGGUAAUACGUAGGGGGCGAGCGUUGUCCGGAAUUACUGGGCGUAAAGAGCACGUAGGCGGCUGUAAAAGUCAGAUGUGAAAAACCUGGGCUCAACCGAGGGUGUGCAUCUGAAACUAANCAGCUUGAGUCAAGGAGAGGAGAGCG